rnacentral:lncRNA from 1 species
AGAUCGGGUUUCUAAAAGCUAUUUCAACCCCCCUCCCAGUUACUGCCACCCUCUCCCAGGUCUAGAGAGGGGUACCCACGGUGGAGGGAGGUGGGAGGCCGAGACGGCCCCGGGGGUCGGCGGAGACCCAGCGGGAGCAGGGGGAAAUCGGAAGAGCUGGGGGCAUGGAGCGGGCGAGUUUGGAGCGGAAUGAGCCGGGAGCCCUACGUUGUGGAAGGAAGACAACAGUAUAGGACCAUCAGCAGGACCGGACAGAGAGGGGCACCCCUGGCUGUCCUGGAACUUGUAGACCAGGCUGGCCUUGAACUCAGAAAUCCGCCUGCCUCUGACUCCCGAGUGCUGAGAUUAAAGGUGUGCACCACCACACCCGACAAGGAAGCCUGUUUUAAGAAGUGAUUCCAUGGAGGAGUUCUGCGGCGGCUCAGGGCUUGACUAAACAGUGGACCUCAGACCCGAGGGUGAAGGAUGAGGAGGAUGGAAGAAAAUGGGAGUGGCGCUUGCUGCAAAGGGUCUCGAAGGGUCUCAGCACCUGCGAACUGGCUCCAAUCCAAACUCCACUAUUCAUGGUCAAGUUCACAUAGGGCUUGGGGUUCUAACAAGAUGUGACUAAACUUACGUUUUCUAUCUUAUUGAUUGUUGUUGAUGCACGUCUGGUGGUACAUGCUUGAAGAACACAGACACCCUGAGAAGAAAGACAUAGCUCCCCAGAUUCCAGCACGCACUUCUCUGUGAGCUACCACUGUAGCUGAAGAUACAGGGCUCAGGAGGAACACUUGGCCUUCGCUCUGAACUUCAGGCCCACGUAACCAUCAGCCGACAUGACACUGCAAAGGCACCUUAGCUCUGCUGUCCCAGAUGGCCAAGCCAACCUUAUUCCAGAAGCUACUUCUCCUGAUGUAAGAACCAGACACAAAGGACAACCUCUGCCUCACCCUCCUUCACACAACACUGAGUCUGUCAUCUUUGAAGCAUUUCUCAAGCCAUGUUUAUUCCCCUGGCCUACGUGGAACACAGCCAGGGUACGGAACACAACCUCAGCACCGGUCUGCUUUCCUCUCCCCAUUUCUGGUCUUUCUCAGAUGCCCAGAGCUCCUCUGUCCCAAUGACUGCUUAUCAAAGAUCUCACUGUGUCCCCACCCAAGGGGUCUUUGGCCACCCUGUGAAGUCCUAGUGGCCUGGAGUUUGCCCCCUUUCCCAGACACCUUAGGGUUCCUGCUGCAGCUCCAGAACUGGGGGAGCAGGGUUGGGGGUGAGUGUGUGUGUGUGUGUGUGUGUGUGUGUGUGUGUGUGUGUUGACUCACCCUGCAGUAUUCUCUCCAUCUGCACAGGUCCCCAGUCUCUGAGACUGAAUCACCCCUCUUUCACUAUGCCUCUGCACAGCUGCCCUUGUGCUCCCUCUCCUUGCCCCGCCUCUUUUUAAGACAGUAUUAUGCAGCCCUGGCUGUCCUGGAACUUAUGUAAACCAGCCUGGCCUUGAACUUGCAGAGAUCCACCUGCCUUUGCCUCUGCCCCUGCCCCUGCCCCUGCCCCUGCCCCUGCCCCUGCCCCUGCCUUUCUGCCUCUGCCUCUGCCUCUCUGCCUUUCUGCCUCUGCCUCUCUGCCUCUGCCUCUCUGCCUCUGCCUCUCAAGUGUCAGGGAUUAAUGCCUGCCACCUCCCCAGUCCCACCCCUCUCCAUCUACCAUGUGGGUUCCACGGGGCAAACCCAAGUCAUCAGGCUUGUUGGCCAGUGCCUUUAUCCACUGAGCCAAGCCGCUUGGUGUGUCUUUGAUGGUGAUUAUUUACAGGAGCUAUUCAGCAAGGUUAAAUGCUGGCAACCCAAUGAGGGGGUCUCUUGAUCCAAAACUGAGAAGUUGAGGCACUAUUUCAGAAUGACCAAAGACAGUAGAAGAAUCUAGAUAUGUCGAUGAUGAGAACAAUGAUAACUCCAAAAGCUGAGGGAAAUUAACUCAAAAUCUUCCAGCUUCCUUUUCCUUACCUAGUUUGGCGGACUCCAACUCUUGGGAUAGCUUUUUUUCUGGCCCCAAACUCACCUGAUUCGUCUGUCCACUGCCACACUGAAGAAUGAACAGCUGUCUCAGAGAGCUUGGCUCCAGAGCUCUGCAAAAAGAGGACACCUUGCCUUGAGCUGUGUUUCCAGAAUGUAUUGCAGCCCCCAGAGUCAUGUACUGUGACCAGGUGAGGACAUGCAUCUUCUGUUCUCCUGCACCCAGGGCCCCAGCAACCAAGGAUCUGGGGACAUGGCGGGUGUUUGGCAGGUUCGCACUCUGAAAAUAUUUGAUGAGACUCAGUAUAUGCUAAAUAAACACUGGAUCAAG